UACGUAGGGUCCGAGCGUUAAUCGGAAUUACUGGGCGUAAAGCGUGCGCAGGCGGUUUUGUAAGCCAGAUGUGAAAUCCCCGGGCUCAACCUGGGAACUGCAUUUGGGACUGCAAGGCUUGAGUACGGCAGAGGGGGGUAGAAUUCCUGGUGUCGCAGUGAAAUGCGCAGAUAUCAGGAAGAACACCAAUGGCGAAGGCAGCUCUCUGGGACGGUACUGACGCUGAGACGCGAAAGCGUGGGGAGCGAACAGG
rnacentral:rRNA from 1 species